rnacentral:rRNA from 1 species
UAACAGGAAGAAGCUUGCUUCUUUGCUGACGAGUGGCGGACGGGUGAGUAAUGUCUGGGAAACUGCCUGAUGGAGGGGGAUAACUACUGGAAACGGUAGCUAAUACCGCAUAACGUCGCAAGACCAAAGAGGGGGACCUUCGGGCCUCUUGCCAUCGGAUGUGCCCAGAUGGGAUUAGCUAGUAGGUGGGGUAACGGCUCACCUAGGCGACGAUCCCUAGCUGGUCUGAGAGGAUGACCAGCCACACUGGAACUGAGACACGGUCCAGACUCCUACGGGAGGCAGCAGUGGGGAAUAUUGCACAAUGGGCGCAAGCCUGAUGCAGCCAUGCCGCGUGUAUGAAGAAGGCCUUAGGGUUGUAAAGUACUUUCAGCGGGGAGGAAGGGAGUAAAGUUAAUACCUUUGCUCAUUGACGUUACCCGCAGAAGAAGCACCGGCUAACUCCGUGCCAGCAGCCGCGGUAAUACGGAGGGUGCAAGCGUUAAUCGGAAUUACUGGGCGUAAAGCGCACGCAGGCGGUUUGUUAAGUCAGAUGUGAAAUCCCCGGGCUCAACCUGGGAACUGCAUCUGAUACUGGCAAGCUUGAGUCUCGUAGAGGGGGGUAGAAUUCCAGGUGUAGCGGUGAAAUGCGUAGAGAUCUGGAGGAAUACCGGUGGCGAAGGCGGCCCCUGGGAGAGAACUGACGCUCAGGUGCGAA